CUAGUACGGCGAGUGAAGAGGGAAGAGCCCAAGAUUGAAAGCUGGCGUCUUCGGCGUCCGCAUUGUAAUCUCAAGAAGUGUUUUCCGCUUCGGACCAUGCCUAAGUCCCUUGGAAAAGGGCAUCAUAGAGGGUGAUAAUCCCGUUCAUGGCAUGGAGCGCCCGAAGCUUUGUGAUACGCUUUCUAAGAGUCGAGUUGUUUGGGAAUGCAGCUCAAAAUGGGUGGUAAAUGCCAUCUAAGGCUAAAUAUUGGGGAGAGACCGAUAGCGAACAAGUACAGUGAUGGAAAGAUGAAAAGAACUUUGAAAAGAGAGUUAAACAGUACGUGAAAUUGCCAAAAGGGAAGGGUAGGAGGUCAGAGAUGCGUCUUGGAAUUCAGCCUUGCUUCUGCUUGGUGUUUUUUCCAUUUUGCAGGCCAACGUCGGUUUUGGGCACUGGAGAAGGGUGGAAGGAACGUGGCACCUCUCGGGGUGUGUUAUAGCCUUCUACUGGAUACAGCGACCGAGACCGAGGACAGCAGCGUACUCGCAAGAGCGGGCCUUCGGGCACCUUUACGCUUAGGGCGUUGGCAUAAUGGCCCUCUACCACCCGUCUUGAACACGGAACC
rnacentral:rRNA from 1 species